GACGAACGCUGGCGGCGUGCUUAACACAUGCAAGUCGAACGAUGAAGCGGUGCUUGCACCGUGGAUUAGUGGCGAACGGGUGAGUAAUACGUGAGUGACCUACCUUUGACUCUGGGAUAAGCCUGGGAAACUGGGUCUAAUACCGGAUACGACCAAUCUCUGCAUGGGGUGUUGGUGGAAAGCGUUAUGGAGUGGUUUUAGAUGGGCUCACGGCCUAUCAGCUUGUUGGUGAGGUAAUGGCUUACCAAGGCGACGACGGGUAGCCGGCCUGAGAGGGUGACCGGCCACACUGGGACUGAGACACGGCCCAGACUCCUACGGGAGGCAGCAGUGGGGAAUAUUGCACAAUGGGCGCAAGCCUGAUGCAGCGACGCCGCGUGAGGGAUGACGGCCUUCGGGUUGUAAACCUCUGUUAGCAUCGAAGAAGCGAAAGUGACGGUAGGUGCAGAGAAAGCGCCGGCUAACUACGUGCCAGCAGCCGCGGUAAUACGUAGGGCGCGAGCGUUGUCCGGAAUUAUUGGGCGUAAAGAGCUUGUAGGCGGUUGGUCGCGUCUGCUGUGAAAGGCCGGGGCUUAACUCCGGUUUUGCAGUGGGUACGGGCUAACUAGAGUGCAGUAGGGGAGACUGGAAUUCCUGGUGUAGCGGUGGAAUGCACAGAUAUCAGGAGGAAACACCGAUGGCGAAGGCGGGUCUCUGGGCUGUAACUGACGCUGAAAAGCGAAGCAUGGGGGAGCGAACAGGAUUUAGAUACCCUAGUAUUCCAAGGGCUAAUUCCCCAGUGGAUAUUAAGCUUAUCGAUACCGUGGCCUCGAGGGGGGGGCCUCGGUACCAGCUUUUGUGCGCUCAGUGGAGGGUUAAUUAAUUU
rnacentral:rRNA from 1 species